CUCUUUGAGCUCCACUAACCUCUCACUGCUGCCCUAUUGGAUAAACUAUUUUUUUAGGAAUACAGCAUUUCGACUCACAAUCACAUUAUGAUCUUGUGGAAAGUACAAGUAGUAUCUCAUAGAUUCUUUUGCACACUCUAUAAAGUGAGCUAUAAUAGAUCUAUCCUCUAGUUUAUCCAUCAUUUGUCUCUUGACAUAGGUCGGAUAUCCCCAAGUCUUGAGAUAACCUAGACUCGGCUUCUUACCUAUUCAAC
rnacentral:lncRNA from 1 species